AGGAGUCGACAGCAUUCUUAGGCCAAACUUACAACUUGGGAAUAACAUUGAUCGAUUCAUGAAGGUUGAAGAAAGGAGUCGACAGCAUUCUUAGGCCAAACUUACUGCUUCGGGAUAAAAUUUAUGCAAAUGUAUUGACUUUGAGUAGCAACUCUUAGAAAACUGUAUAUUUGAUCGAUUCAUGAAAGUUGUUGGAAGGAGUCGACAGCAUUCUUAGGCCAAACUUACUACUUUAGGGAAAACUUUAUGCACAUGUAUUGACUAUGAGUGGCAACGCUUAGAAAAUUUUAUAUUUGAUCGAUUCAUGAAGGUUGGUGAAAGGAGUCGACAGCAUCCUUAGGUCAAACUUACUACUUAGGGGUAAAAUGUAUGCAAAUGUAUUGACUAUGAGUGGCAACGCUUAGAAAACUGUAUAUUUGAUCGAUUCAUGAAGGUUGUUGGAAGGAGUCGACAGCAUUCUUAGGCGAAACUUAGUACUUUGGGGUAAAAUUUACGCAAAUGUAUUGAAUAUGAGUGGCAACGCUUAGAAAACUGUAUAUUUGAUCGAUUCAUGAAGGUUGUUGGAAGGAGUCGACAGCAUUCUUAGGCGAAACUUACUACUUUGGGGAAAAAUUUAUGCAAAUGUAAUGACUAUGAGUGGCAACGCUUAGAAAACUGUAUAUUUGACCGAUUCAUGAAGGUUGGUGAAAGGAGUCGACAGCAUUCUUAGGCGAAACUUACUACUUUAGGGAAAACUUUAUGCAAAUGUAUUGACUAUGAGUGGCAACGCUUAGAAAACUGUAUAUUUGACCGAUUCAUGAAGGUUGGUGAAAGGAGUCGACAGCAUUCUUUGGCGAAACUUAGUACUUUGGGGAAAACUUUAUGCAAAUGUAUUGACUAUGAGUGGCAACGCUUAGAAAACUGUAUAUUUGAUCGAUUCAUGAAGGUUGUUGGAAGGAGUCGACAGCAUUCUUAGGCGAAACUUACUACUUUGGGGAAAACUUUAUGCAGAUGUAUUGACUAUGAGUGGCAACGCUUAGAAAACUGUAUAUUUGAUCGAUUCAUGAAGGUUGUUGGAAGGAGUCGACAGCAUUCUUAGGCGAAACUUACUACUUUGGGGAAAAAUUUAUACAAAUGUAAUGACUAUGAGUGGCAACGCUUAGAAAACUGUAUAUUUGACCGAUUCAUGAAGGUUGGUGAAAGGAGUCGACAGCAUUCUUAGGCGAAACUUACUACUUUAGGGAAAACUUUAUGCAAAUGUAUUGACUAUGAGUGGCAACGCUUAGAAAACUGUAUAUUUGAUCGAUUCAUGAAGGUUGUUGGAAGGAGUCGACAGCAUUCUUAGGCGAAACUUACUACUUUAGGGAAAACUUUAAGCAAAUGUAUUGACUAUGAGUGGCAACGCUUAGAAAACUGUAUAUUUGACCGAUUCAUGAAGGUUGGUGAAAGGAGUCGACAGCUUUCUUUGGCGAAACUUAGUACUUUGGGGAAAACUUUAUGCAGAUGUAUUGACUAUGAGUGGCAACGCUUAGAAAACUGUAUAUUUGAUCGAUUCAUGAAGGUUUUUGGAAGGAGUCGACAGCAUUCUUAGGCGAAACUUACUACUUUGGGGAAAACUUUAUGCAGAUGUAUUGACUAUGAGUGGCAACGCUUAGAAAACUGUAUAUUUGACCGAUUCAUGAAGGUUGGUGAAAGGAGUCGACAGCAUUCUUAGGCGAAACUUACUACUUUAGGGAAAACUUUAUGCAAAUGUAUUGACUAUGAGUGGCAACGCUUAGAAAACUGUAUAUUUGAUCGAUUCAUGAAGGUUGGUCGAAGGUUGGAUGGUUGGCAUUAUUUUAAUAAAACUCAGAAUUACUACCA
rnacentral:lncRNA from 1 species